rnacentral:rRNA from 1 species
UACGUAGGGUGCGAGCGUUAAUCGGAAUUACUGGGCGUAAAGGGUGCGCAGGCGGUCUCGUAAGCUGGGUGUGAAAGCCCCGGGCUUAACCUGGGAAUGGCAUUCAGGACUGCGAGGCUUUGAGUGUGGCAGAGGGAGGUGGAAUUCCACGUGUAGCAGUGAAAUGCGUAGAGAUCGGGAGGAACACCAGAGGCGAAGGCGGCGACCUGGACAGGUACUGACACUCAACUACGAAAGCGUGGGGAGCAAACAGG